rnacentral:misc_RNA from 1 species
CCCCAUAAAGAAUUGAAUAUACGCCCAGGAAUUUCACCAAAUGCUAUAAUCCCAAUUUUCUUGAGAACCAAUCUGAAAGAUUAGCUAUUACAAAUCCUGCAAAAACCUGAANAUAGCUAAGAAUGUAAAUUGCCGAAUAAUGACGACCAUGAAUCACCAUAUCAGCCACCAUAGCAAGAGGGAUGGUGAGUGACAUACCCAAGGUAGCCACCAAUGGAGUUGUCCAUACAACACAUAAUGC